rnacentral:rRNA from 1 species
UACAGAGGGUGCGAGCGUUGUCCGGAAUCACUGGGCGUAAAGGGCGCGUAGGCGGUUUUGUAAGUCGGGGGUGAAAUGCUGCGGCUCAACCGCAGCGCUGCCUUCGAGACUGCAAGACUGGAGCACGGUAGAGGCGGAUGGAAUUCCCGGUGUAGCGGUGGAAAGCGUAGAGAUCGGGAAGAACACCAAUGGCGAAGGCAGUCCGCUGGGCCGUUGCUGACGCUGAGGCGCGACAGCGUGGGGAGCAAACAGG